AUUGAACGCUGGCGGCAGGCCUAACACAUGCAAGUCGGACGGUAGCACAGAGAGCUUGCUCUCGGGUGACGAGUGGCGGACGGGUGAGUAAUGUCUGGGGAUCUGCCCGAUAGAGGGGGAUAACCACUGGAAACGGUGGCUAAUACCGCAUAACGUCGCAAGACCAAAGAGGGGGACCUUCGGGCCUCUCACUAUCGGAUGAACCCAGAUGGGAUUAGCUAGUAGGCGGGGUAACGGCCCACCUAGGCGACGAUCCCUAGCUGGUCUGAGAGGAUGACAGGCCACACUGGAACUGAGACACGGGCCAGACUACUACGGGAGGCAGCAGUGGGGAAUAUUGCACAAUGGGCGCAAGCCUGAUGCAGCCAUGCCGCGUGUAUGAAGAAGGCCUUCGGGUUGUAAAGUACUUUCAGCGGGGAGGAAGGCGAUGUGGUUAAUAACCGCGUCGAUUGACGUUACCCGCAGAAGAAGCACCGGCUAACUCCGUGCCAGCAGCCGCGGUAA
rnacentral:rRNA from 1 species